GGAAAAUACAGCAAUAGAUGAAUGAAAUAUAGAAUCCAAAAUGAAAAUAAACAGAAAAUCACUUCCAAACCAGGAAAAAAGGUGAAUGCAAGCAAUAACGGAUAUGAAAUGGAUCAGAAAAGGUUCGCAGGAUGAAUCUUGAAAGCAAAUAAAAUGGGAUCAGGAAAAGGAAUCUACACAGACCGAUAUGAACAACGUGUGAAUUAGAUGUAAUAAAAAAAAAAACCAGUUUCCUGGUGGAGAGGGAUUGAUAUAAUAUGUACAAAAGAAAGCAAUAAAAAGCGUGUAUAUUACUUU